rnacentral:rRNA from 1 species
GAUGAACGCUGGCGGCGUGCCUAAUACAUGCAAGUCGAGCGAACAGACGAGGAGUUUGCUCCUCUGACGCUAGCGGCGGACGGGUGAGUAACACGUGGAUAACCUACCUAUAAGACUGGGAUAACUUCGGGAAACCGGAGCUAAUACCGGAUAAUAUAUUGAACCGCAUGGUUCAUUAGUGAAAGACGGUUUUGCUGUCACUUAUAGAUGGAUCCGCGCCGCAUUAGCUAGUUGGUAAGGUAACGGCUUACCAAGGCAACGAUGCGUAGCCGACCUGAGAGGGUGAUCGGCCACACUGGAACUGAGACACGGUCCAGACUCCUACGGGAGGCAGCAGUAGGGAAUCUUCCGCAAUGGGCGAAAGCCUGACGGAGCAACGCCGCGUGAGUGAUGAAGGUCUUCGGAUCGUAAAACUCUGUUAUUAGGGAAGAACAAAUGUGUAAGUAACUAUGCACGUCUUGACGGUACCUAAUCAGAAAGCCACGGCUAACUACGUG